rnacentral:lncRNA from 1 species
CCUUGAGCCUGGCCUGCAAGCCUGUCCGUCUAGGUGGAAUCAUGACAACUGAUUCUGACUGAUGGAGGAACACAUGGGCCAGCAGUGGGCUGUGAGGCCCUGGGGAGGGCCGUUGGGAGGCGCAGAAUACACUAGGUGGCCUGGUGUUUAGGAAGAAAAGGGCAUCGCAAGUUCAGCGUGCUCUUUGAUGGAGAGAGCAGAGGCCAGAGGUCCAAGGAGAUGGGGUAGCCAAGGAUGGAUCUGAGCCACAUUCCUCCCUUUCAGGACAGCAGUCUCUCAUCUUCCUCUAUUCAGCUUUCUCAGGGCCCAAAAUGCCUACGGGAGUGGGGGUAGGGUGUGGGGGAGGGCAGAAUGGGCUGGAAAGGGAAACCAGAUAGGUCCCUAUUUAUUCUUUUGGAGUGUCUUUGUUCAAGGCAGGAAGAACAAAGAACACCUCAGGCCAGCCCUCCAGGUAUACCUGAUCUCCUCCUCUGGGCUCCAGGGACAGAGUUCAAAAGCUAGAGUGCCCCACUCCCAACCCAACUGCCAGCCACAUCCACGAACCGGAAGACAGGAGCUCUCUGACCAAAGUGGAGUCUGCAGUCCACUGGCUGGCAUUCCCACCAGACUGACUACCAAUCCCCGUGGACUCUCAGCCUCUUCACCAAGGCAAGAUUUGGUGCUGGGACAGAGAAGAAGAGCCUACCUGUCUUAUGGGGGAAAAUAGAGCAGAGUCAUAGCAGCCAUGACUCUUUUGUAUACCAGGCAUGUGGUUGCUCCCUGCUGCCCCACCUACGCAGAAGGCUCCCCAGAGGACCUACCGCUCCUCUCCCCUGAGGUCUGCCAGCUCCCACGGACCUCCUCUGCAGAUUCUUCAAGGUGACCUCUGUCUGGAGAUGAGGACAAUGUGUCUGUCUGUUUUUCAAAUAUUUGGAGCCUGCUAAAGACCAACACAUUUUUUUAAGUGUGUAUAAUUUGAGGGCAAUUUGAUCCAUAUGUUUCUGAUUCCCUUGCACUCAAAUCAUCAAAAUAUUGAUUUUUAAGAGC